ensembl:lncRNA
GUAUAGGGAUCAGCUUGCUACUAAGGAAAUUAGAUUUCCUGUUGAGGAAUACAAGCUUCUGUAAACUUCAUUUAAGCUUGCAAAGCCUGUGCCAUCAAGACUCUUCUGAAGUUUCUGCCGGCCCUGAUUCUGCAAUCCAAGACCUCAACAGGAAAUCUAAAGGUGGGAGUCUAUUGAAUAACAAAGACCAGAAUUCAAUCUGUGAAAAGAAUGAGCUGGGAAUGAGAAAUGAAAUUGAUUUGGUCCACUCCUCGCUAUAUUUCAAAUGCUGUCCAUCAAACAUGCCUGAGAGGAGCUGUAAGAGAUGUCUCUCAAGAACUGGAAGCACACAGUGGGUGAUCAGCCGUUUACGCAUAUGGACCGGUUAACAAUGAGACACACUUUCAGUGUCCCACUUUGAGCCUGGAGCCAAGAACCUUCCAGAAGCGUACAUGCGCC